rnacentral:tRNA from 1 species
GGGGCUGUAGCUCAAUGGUAGAGCACCUGCCUCACAUGUGUGAGGCAUUGGGUUCAAUCCUCAGCACCA